UUGCUAAUAUUAUUCCUUAGAAACAACUGUUAAUAGAAGCUCUGAUGACAAUAAGCCAAGCAUUACUGCUGUGACAAUUUCUUUAACCCUUUCCUAAGAGGACUUUUUAUUGAUAUCAAGUAGGGACAAGACUGGAUCCAAUGAAUUAUCAGAGGGAGGAAGAGAGUGUCUUUGUAAGGACCCACAUAAGCGACUUACAGUAAAAAAUAAAGAGAUUCCUUUCCCUUCUUGGGGAAUGCCGCUCUGAGAUCAAAUGGCCCAUCAUCCUCUGCACACCUACCAGCAUGAAAGGCAGUAUCUUAUGAGCAGGAGCCAUGCCCAUUUUUAUAAGGAUCUUAAUAAACUGUGUAUAUUUGAAGAAAUGAUACUGACAUGCAGAACAUUUUAUUCAGGCUUUUGCUCUGUACAUACAGUUUCCAAGGCAAAAAAAAAAAAAAAAAAAGUCUGCAUUGGCAAUUUACAAAGUAAAAAGAGUGUGGAAAUUCAAAUAUCAGAUACUGAUGGGAGUACAACAAGGUCUGCUGUGACAAACUUCU
rnacentral:lncRNA from 1 species